AAUUAGCAAUAGUAUAUAUUUUUUAAAAAAAGGUAAAGUACAUUGUAUUAUUGAAAAAUUUCAGAUUUUUAGCACGUUCGAAAACGUUUGGAUUGACAAAUCAGUAGAUUUAACAUAAUUCAAGUACAGUGAUAUUUAAAUUUUUUAAAGUGUGAUUAUUUUUUUAUUAUUUAUUUUGACGUAACUUGUACGGUUUGAAAAUUAAAUUUAAUUACUUCAUUUUUUAUUUUAAUGUAAUUUGGUGUUGGUGAAAUUAAUUUUUUGUAGUUACAUUGUUUGUUUUGAUGUAAGUAAGUGGAUUACGUUAUCUUCUGAAUAUAGUGAUAAAUUUACCGUUAUAAAAUUUAACAUAUUAAAUAAUUAAUUUUUUUAUUAUUAUUUAAAGGUAAUCAUAAUUUAUUAUAAAUAAAAUAAUUCUAAUCUAUUAUAAAGGAAGUAAAGUUUAGAUUUUACUAUUUAAUAAAUUUUUUUAGAAAAAAUUAAGCGUAGUAGAAGUCGCGUUCGGCACUUGAAAGAGAAAAGUCGAGAGUAGGUGAAAUAAAGAUCUAAUGUAACUUAAGUUACACUAUAUUUUUGACUUAUAUACCAAAACAAACAGCCCAAGAAGAAAAUCCUACUU
rnacentral:lncRNA from 1 species